AAGCGUACGCUAAGUGGGAAAGGAUGUGGAGUCGCACAGACAACCAGGAGGUUGGCUUAGAAGCAGCCACCCUUGAAAGAGUGCGUAAUAGCUCACUGGUCUAGUGAUUCCGCGCCGACAAUGUAGCGGGGCUCAAGCGUACCGCCGAAGUCGUGUCAUUSCAAYAUGUACSSCCAACGSSSAYYGKGAUGGGUAGGGGAGCGUCGUGUGCCGGGUGAAGCAGCCGCGGAAGCGAGUUGUGGACGGUUCACGAGUGAGAAUGCAGGCAUGAGUAGCGAUACACACGUGAGAAACGUGUGCGCCGAUUGACUAAGGGUUCCUGGGUCAAGCUGAUCUGCCCAGGGUAAGUCGGGACCUAAGGCGAGGCCGACAGGCGUAGUCGAUGGAUAACCGGUUGAUAUUCCGGUACCCGCUGUGAAGCGUCAAACAUUGAAUCAGGCGAUGCUAAGUCCGUGAAGCCGUUCCGGACCCUUCGGGGAAAGGAAAGUGGUGGAGCCGACGGACCAGACUUGUAGUAGGUGAGUGAUGGGGUGACGCAGGAAGGUAGUCCAGCCCGGGCGGUGGUUGUCCCGGGGUAAGGGUGUAGGGCGCKGKMYAGGUAAAUCCGKACMRCUUGWGCCUGAGACCUGAUGCCGAGCCGAUUGUGGUGAAGUGGAUGAUCCUAUGCUGUCGAGAAAAGCCUCUAGCGAGUUUCAUGGCGGCCCGUACCCUAAACCGACUCAGGUGGUCAGGUAGAGAAUACCGAGGCGUUCGGGUGAACUAUGGUUAAGGAACUCGGCAAAAUGCCCCCGUAACUUCGGGAGAAGGGGGGCCAUCACUGGUGAGAGGACUUGCUCCUCGAGCUGGGGGUGGCCGCAGAGACCAGCGAGAAGCGACUGUUUACUAAAAACACAGGUCCGUGCGAAGCCGUAAGGCGAUGUAUACGGACUGACGCCUGCCCGGUGCUGGAAACGUUAAGGGGGACCGGUUUAGUGCACUUUUCCGGG
rnacentral:rRNA from 1 species